AACGCAUAUUGCGCUCUUUGGUAUUCCGAAGAGCAUGCUUGUUUGAGUAUCAGUAAACACCUCAAAACUCGAUCUUUUUCAAGCGUUUUGGACUUGAGCAAACCUAACGCCUUUUCUUUUAAGAUCUGUUGCGGCGGGUUGCUUGAAAUGCAGGUGCAGCUGGACAAUCUCCUGAGCUAAAAGCAUAUUUAUUUAGUCCCGUCAAACUGAUUACUUUUUGCUGCAGCUAACAUAAAGGGGGUCUUGACCAUUAUGGCUGACUGAUGCAGGAUAUCAUAGAGGAAAGGCCGGAAACGGUUUUGUCUCUGUCAAACCCGAUCUCAAAUCAAGUAAGACUACCCGCUGAACUUAA
rnacentral:misc_RNA from 1 species